AGUUUUGCGCAGUAGCGAUAUCGUCGCCGAUGAGGUUUAACCGAGGCGUGAUUAUUGCUUCUUGUAAACACCGCUAACAAUGGCCUGUUCCUUUUAUCAUCAUUACUUUUUUGCAUUUCUAUCAUUAAUUUGUUCAAUAGA